rnacentral:sRNA from 1 species
AUGUGGGGAAGGAUGAGAAGCUUCGACUAAGGUUCGAUUCGAGCGCAGCGAGAAAGCGUUGCCAACGGCAACGGCCCGAAGGGCGAAGCGCGCAGCGCUGAGUCAUCCUUCCCCCACCACCA